rnacentral:tmRNA from 1 species
GGGCCCGUAAAGGUUUCGACGGGGAUUUUGAGGUAUGAUAAGCGGGUAGAGCCGGGCAAUCUCUAUAAAGGCCCAAAUUUUAAAAUUAAACGCUAACGAAAACGUUGCAAUGGCUGCCUAAGGGCAGUGCCGUGGCCAUAAGCGCCACCCGUUCCUCCGAAGAGUAUCGCGGCUUCGGACUGAGCGUCAAGUAAGCGGUGAACGUGCGUCGGCCUUUCGCCAUUGAGCCGACCACGCAAAAAAUGGCUACCCAAGAGCGAAGUCUGUCUGCUGACGGCGCACAAGGGGAAAUUCAAAUAACAGACUGCACCCGGAGAAAGUUGUAUCAAGAGGUUUUCGGACAGGGGUUCAAUUCCCCUCGGGUCCACCA